UCUUCUUGUGUGCUCGUUUCUCUUAGAAUAAGAACGCCGCACGGAAAAACGGUCUAAACGAAAGCUUCGUGGCACUAUAAAUUUAUGAGAAUUAUAAAUAAAAAUAAUUUUAACAACAACAACCGAAAGCUACCAAGCACUUGAACGGUGUCGAGUCAUUUAAGUGACGCGCGUUUUUUUUGGUUUUUGACAUUACACAUUAAAGUGUAUAAAAUAUGACAGACACAGCGGUGUAGGAAAAAAAGUGUGUUCAACCUGAAACAGAAAUAAUUUCGAAUGUGAUGAGGCUAGUAGUGUGGUGAUAUAUUUAUUUAUUUACCUGUAAUAUUUAUAUUGACAUCUGCUCUUAACGUUAAUGACGACUACAACUAUCCACAACAAUUAAAACAAUAACAAAAACAAGUGUAAUUAAAAACAAAACAAUUAUAGAAGUAACAAAACGAAUACGAAUGAGUAAAUUGAUAAAUAAAUAAAAUGAGGAACACACUCAUUUAACAACGAAUAUUUAAGUAAAUUAUAAAAGCAAAAAAACAACAAAAAUUAAAGAAUUUAAAUGAAAAUCACAACAUCCACAGCAACAGCAUCUAUAACCUGCAUAAAAAAUUACCUGUAUCAACAAAUGUUUAAGAUAAUUGAGCACCGUGUGCAAAAAAGCGAAUAAAAAAAGAAUAACACAACGAAGAAGAAAUAUAAACAGCUUAACGACUUUUUAUGGAGGAAUAUAAAACAAGAAAAGAUAUAAAACCAAAUAGGAGAAAUCAACAAAGUCUUAAUAACAAUAUUACUUCCUACCAAAAAUAAAUCCACUUACAUCACUGCUCACACACACACACACAACAACCAACCCACCCACCACAUCCUUUAUUAGAAGAGCAAAUACACAGUAGAACGAACUGAUUGCGCUUGAAUGAGUGGGUUUUAGAAUAAAAAUAUGUGUAACGAUGGCAAAUGUGAAGCAUAAACCAACAACUAACUAAACCAGCACCAGUGGGAAAAAGGAAUAACAACAACAACCUACAACUAUUAAACAAGGAUAACGGCAGCCAUUGAAAUAAACAAACAAUCGAAUACAAACAAUACGAAUACACAACCACAUACAAUACAACAAUACACACGAAUACAAACUAACGAGGAGUCCCAUUGUUUUGCUUUGCUUAGUUCGGCUGUGGGGUCGAGCAGAGAUCGUGUGUGAAGAGGUGAACGAACAUUAGCAACACUACCAAAGAGAAGAGAAAAAGAGGUGAAAAGGCAGCUUUUAACAAAAGUUCAAUGCAGUUUUAUGAAGAACAGGUUUAUAUGUAUGAAUGCACGUUUAUGCUCAAGUAAAGCUUCCCUAUUAUUUAAAGACAACAACUACACUCUCUGCCUCUCUCACACACAGCUAUGGUAAUAACGGCUCGUUAAUUUUCCCGUUAGAAUGCGUGUCAAUGUAUGUAUGUGUGUAAAUACAUGUAAGAGACAAGUACAUAUGUGUGUGUGGCUGGAAUUUAAAUGAAUUGCAUGUGUCUAAGUGAGAAAUGGUGUUCAAUGCGGCUUAAAUCAAACAUGCAAACAGCAUACGACAACAAUUCACAUGUGCAACUAUAAAAUAUUGCAACUGGGUUUUGCAACUAACAGUUUUUAGUAUUUUAAACUCAAUUGUCCUGUAACAAAUAAAAUAUUCUACAACAAUUUCUGCAGUUACAUAAACACGUAAACAUUUAAAUGCUCACACUCUCGGCACUAUUGUGUGUAUCUACAAUAAUAAUAAUAAUUAAUAAGUGUUUAAAUGAAAAUUUGGUAAAAAUUAAAAAUCCACUGCAAAUUAAAACUACACCACUGAGAAUUUUAAUUAAAUUCUACUUAAAUACAAAACAGCGACAACGAGCCACAGAAAAAAUAUUACAAUAGUUGACAAUAAAUGUCUAGAGGCCACAAAAUAAAUGUUAAACUAUUUAGUUUCGCCAACAAUACUACUCGACUGCAAUACAAAAACAAAAUAGAAAACUGAAGGACAACAACAGCAACAGCCACAGUGCUGAAGUGAAAGAUAGAUACAAAACGAGAACAGUUACAACAAAAUAUAAUAAUAGAAUUUAACUAGAAAUGCCAGGAAAAACAUAAACACACGCACAUACAGAGAUUGUCAAUGGAAUGCAUAAAUUGCAAGUCAACAUCAUCAGUUCACUUGACAGCAAAAAUAAUAACAAUAACAACAUCAUCAUCAUCAUCAAGAGAACAGAACAAUACAAUAAUAUUCAAAAUCUACAAUACUUAGUGACAGCAAACAAUAUUGCAUUGCAACUAAAAACGAAAGAAAAAAGAAACUAGCAACAUUUUAUUCUUAAAUAUCAAAUAACAAGUUUUUAUCCUAAAUUGGUUCGCUUAAAGAAAUUACUUUCAAAGAAAUUCGCAUUUUCCCGCAAAACUCAAGAAAACUGAAUUAAAUAGAGAGAGAGAAUGAAUGAAAAAAAACAUUCGCAUAAAAUAUUAAACGAAAAGUUCUUAAGUUUCCAGGUUGUAUUUCUUUAAAGAAAUCUCGCACAAUUUCUCAAAAAGUAAAAAAACAAAAUAGAAUAACACAUUGAAUAUUUAACAAAAAAGAAUUCAAAAUAACUAAAAGUUGGAAAGUGCUAAGAGAUUGUUGUGAUAUAUAGAGUUUUAAGAAUAACUGUUAGCUGAAAUUAAACAAAGUUUAUUUUUUGUAACUAAAACAAGUGAAAAGCUUUAAGCUUAUUGGCUUAGUAACUUUUAUAACAAGGAAGCUUAAAGUUUGUUUUUUGUAAAAAGUUAAAAAUUAAA